rnacentral:rRNA from 1 species
AAUCCUUAACGCCGAAAACCCAAGGUUUCCUACGCGAUGCUCGUCAUCGUAGGGUUAGUCGGGUCCUAAGUCGAGUCUGAAAAGAGUAGACGAUGGCAAAUUGGUUAAUAUUCCAAUACCAACAUAUAAGCGCGAUGUGGGGACGCAUAGAGUUAAUCGAGCACACUGAUGGAAUAGUGGGUCGAAGGACGUAGGUUGUU